AGCCAAAUUCUUGGUGGUUUCCUUCACUUAGUUCCCUCUGCAGAGAACUAUGUUCUGGUGACAUUUCAGGGCUAUGAAAUAGAGUCACGGACAGAUCCCGCUGAGAGCAACUGCUCGCGCUGCCGUACCUGGGGAUUGGAUCUGCUCGGGAGGACCACCAGGUCAUGGGAUUGAACGUAAACGCCAGAAAUAGUUGCAGUUCCCAGUUUACCUACCCUCUGGCCCUUUAAAUUGAGGUGGGAAAGAAAGAAAAGGUGUUUCUGUUGGAGUGGCUGUUUGUCACCUGGUUCCUGUAGGCUUACAUCCCUUCUAACUGGUAAGUUUGGGGGGUUUAUGGUAUUUUUUGUGAUUAUUC
rnacentral:lncRNA from 1 species